rnacentral:rRNA from 1 species
UGGGGAAUAUUGCGCAAUGGGCGAAAGCCUGACGCAGCAACACCGCGUGAGGGAUGACGGCCUUCGGGUUGUAAACCUCUUUCAGCUCCGACGAAGCGAAAGUGACGGUAGGAGCAGAAGAAGCACCGGCUAACUACGUGCCAGCAGCCGCGGUAAUACGUAGGGUGCAAGCGUUGUCCGGAUUUAUUGGGCGUAAAGAGCUCGUAGGCGGUUCGGUAAGUCGGGUGUGAAAACUCUGGGCUCAACCCAGAGAGGCCACUCGAUACUGCUGUGACUAGAGUGCGGUAGGGGAGCGGGGAAAUUCCUGGUGUAGCGGUGAAAUGCGCAGAUAUCAGGAGGAACACCAGUGGCGAAGGCGCCGCUCUGGGCCGUAACUGACGCUGAGGAGCGAAAGCGUGGGGAGCGAACAGGAUUAGAUACCCUGGUAGUCCACGCCGUAAACGGGUGGGCGCUAGGUGUGGGAUCGUUUCCACGAUCUCCGUGCCGUAGCUAACGCGAUUAAGCGCCCCGCCUGGGGAGUACGGUCGCAAGAUUAAAA